GCAGUAGCCGCGGUAAUACGUAGGGUGCAAGCGUUAAUCGGAAUUACUGGGCGUAAAGCGUGCGCAGGCGGUUUUGUAAGACAGAGGUGAAAUCCCCGGGCUCAACCUGGGAACUGCCUUUGUGACUGCAAGGCUAGAGUACGGCAGAGGGGGAUGGAAUUCCGCGUGUAGCAGUGAAAUGCGUAGAUAUGCGGAGGAACACCGAUGGCGAAGGCAAUCCCCUGGGCCUGUACUUACGCUCAUGCACGAAAGCGUGGGGAGCAAACAGGAUUAGAUACCCCAGUAGUCCCUGUCUCUUAUAC
rnacentral:rRNA from 1 species